rnacentral:rRNA from 1 species
UCUGUAGGUGGUUUGUUAAGUUGAAUGUUAAAUCUAUGGGCUCAACUCAUAGACCGCAUCCAAUACUGGCAGACUUGAGGAAGGAAGAGGUAAGCGGAAUUACCGGUGGAGCGGUGAAAUGCGUAGAUAUCGGUAGGAACACCAAUGGCGAAGGCAGCUUACUGGGCCUCUCCUGACACUGAGAGACGAAAGCGUGGGGAGCGAACGGAAUUAGAUACUCCGGUAGUCCACGCCGUAAACGAUGAUCACUAGCUGUUCGAGGUGUCGACCCCUUGAGUAGCGAAGCUAACGCGUUAAGUGAUCCGCCUGGGGAGUACGGUCGCAAGACUAAA